GACGAACGCUGGCGGCGUGCUUAACACAUGCAAGUCGAACGAAGAGCGAUGGAAGCUUGCUUCUAUCAAUCUUAGUGGCGAACGGGUGAGUAACGCGUAAUCAACCUGCCCUUCAGAGGGGGACAACAGUUGGAAACGACUGCUAAUACCGCAUACGAUCUAAUCUCGGCAUCGAGGAUAGAUGAAAGGUGGCCUCUACAUGUAAGCUAUCACUGAAGGAGGGGAUUGCGUCUGAUUAGCUAGUUGGAGGGGUAACGGCCCACCAAGGCGAUGAUCAGUAGCCGGUCUGAGAGGAUGAACGGCCACAUUGGGACUGAGACACGGCCCAGACUCCUACGGGAGGCAGCAGUGGGGAAUCUUCCGCAAUGGUCGAAAGUCUGACGGAGCGACGCCGCGUGAGUGAUGACGGCCUUCGGGUUGUAAAGCUCUGUUAAUCGGGACGAAAGGCCUUCUUGCGAAUAGUGAGAAGGAUUGACGGUACCGGAAUAGAAAGCCACGGCUAACUACGUG
rnacentral:rRNA from 1 species